rnacentral:tRNA from 1 species
GGGAGGGUAGUCUAGAUUGGUAUGAUACAGUAAGAUACUUGGCUGGGGGCCAAGUGGUCGGGGGUUCAAAUCCCCCCUCUCCCA